rnacentral:rRNA from 1 species
UACGUAGGGUGCAAGCGUUGUCCGGAAUUAUUGGGCGUAAAGGGCUCGUAGGCGGCUUGUCGCGUCGGCUGUGAAAACUCGGGGCUCAACCCCGAGCCUGCAGUCGAUACGGGCAGGCUGGAGUCCGGCAGGGGAGACUGGAAUUCCUGGUGUAGCGGUGAAAUGCGCAGAUAUCAGGAGGAACACCGGUGGCGAAGGCGGGUCUCUGGGCCGGAACUGACGCUAAGGAGCGAAAGCGUGGGGAGCGAACAGG